CAGCCGCGGUAAUUCCAGCUCCAAUAGCGUAUAUUAAAGUUGUUGCAGUUAAAAAGCUCGUAGUUGAAUUUCGGGGUUAGUAGGUUGGUCAUGCCUCCGGUAUGUACUGAUCUCACUGAUUCCCUCCUUCCUUAUGAACCGUAAUGCCAUUAAUUUGGUGUUGCGGGGAAUUUGGACUGUUACUUUGAAAAAAUUAGAGUGUUUAAAGCAGGCUAACGCUUGAAUACAUUAGCAUGGAAUAAUGAAAUAGGACGUUCGAUCUUAUUUUGUUGGUUUCUUAGGAUUGACGUAAUGAUUAAUAGGGAUAGUUGGGGGCAUUAGUAUUCAAUUGUCAGAGGUGAAAUUCUUGGAUUUAUUGAAGACUAACUACUGCGAAAGCAUUUGCCAAGGAUGUUUUCAUUAAUCAAGAACGAAAGUUAGGGAUCGAAGACGAUCAGAUACCGUCGUAGUCUUAACCUUAACCAUAAACUAUGCCGACUAGGGGAUCGGAUGAUGUUAAUUUUUAUAAUGACUCAUUCGGCGCCUUACGGGAAAC
rnacentral:rRNA from 1 species